UACGGAGGGGGCUAGCGUUGUUCGGAAUUACUGGGCGUAAAGCGCACGUAGGCGGCUUUGUAAGUUAGAGGUGAAAGCCCGGGGCUCAACUCCGGAAUUGCCUUUAAGACUGCAUCGCUAGAAUUGUGGAGAGGUAAGUGGAAUUCCGAGUGUAGAGGUGAAAUUCGUAGAUAUUCGGAAGAACACCAGUGGCGAAGGCGGCUCACUGGCCCGGUACUGACGCUGAGGUGCGAAAGCGUGGGGAGCAAACAGG
rnacentral:rRNA from 1 species